CGUACAAAUACGACUUUGGCAUUCCUAGCUCUUGUUGGUGAAAGAGUGCCGCUGAUGGGUGCGUCCGUGCCGGUUGAAAAAUAAAUUUUGAGAUUGGUGCGGUCACCUGAAGAAGAGAUAGACGAUGCUCGAGACCGGAUUUUUCUGGUUUUUUGUUUUCUGUUGUUGCGUUGUUCGACAGAGUAAGGCUGCGGGCAAGAAAGGAUGCAAUGUCUGAUUUUUCUCGUGCUGUGUUGAUUUUUUCUGAUUUUUUCCUGUCGCAGGGGAGGAGAGGAUUGGGGGGGAGCAUGGAUUCCUAGUACGUGAAGGCCGUGAGGCUGAGUGAGAACGGAAUUGUGUUUUCUCUUGUUUUUCGAUUUUCUUGUGCUGCGGGGAGGGAGAGGGGAGGUUGGCAUGGCGCUUGCAGGCUGAUAUUUUCUGGCGCUGCGAAUUGAUGAAUUUCUGUUCUGUAGUGUUGGGGCGUAUUCUUGUCUGUGGGUAGAGGGGGGUUGGAUGCUGUGUUUGAUUUUUUGUUUUGUGGUUGCGAAAAUCGGAGAGCGUGGCGGGCGGGAUCCUAAAUUCCGAGCGUAUAGUCGUCUAGGAAGCCAGAAUUUUGACAAAUUCUAACACUUUUAUUAUUUGGAUCUCAAAUCAGA
rnacentral:misc_RNA from 1 species